GCGCGACCGGGGAGGGGCCACGGGCGGAAGUGGGUGUGACAGGGACGGGAGCCGAGAGGGCCUUCUGAAGGGAGACGCUGGGCUGUGGGAGCCACACGCAGGGAGGGUCGAAGUCAUGAUCCCCCCUCAGGAGGCGUCCGCUCGGCGGCGGGAGAUCGAGGACAAGCUGAAACAGGAGGAGGAGACGCUGUCCUUCAUCCGAGACAGCCUGGAGAAGAGCGACCAGCUCACCAAGAACAUGGUGUCUAUCCUGUCAUCCUUUGAGAGUCGCCUGAUGAAGCUGGAGAACUCCAUCAUCCCUGUGCACAAGCAGACGGAGAACCUGCAGCGGCUGCAGGAGAAUGUCGAGAAGACCCUGUCCUGUCUGGACCACGUCAUCAGCUACUAUCAUGUGGCCAGUGACACUGAGAAGAUCAUCAGGGAGGGCCCCACAGGUAGGCUAGAGGAGUACCUGGGAAGCAUGGCCAAGAUUCAGAAGGCUGUGGAGUAUUUCCAGGACAAUAGCCCAGACAGCCCAGAGCUCAACAAAGUGAAGCUGCUGUUUGAGCGGGGGAAGGAGUCCCUGGAGUCCGAGUUCCGCAGCCUGAUGACCCGGCACAGCAAGGUGGUGUCCCCAGUGCUCAUCCUGGAUCUGAUCGGUGGUGAGGAGGACCUGGAGCUCCAGGAGGAGGUGCCCCUGGAGCACCUGCCCGAGAGCGUGCUGCACGACGUGGUCCGCAUCUCCCGCUGGCUGGUGGAAUACGGCCGCAACCAAGAUUUCAUGAACGUCUACUACCAGAUCCGCUCCAGCCAGCUGGACCGCUCCAUCAAAGGCCUGAAGGAGCAUUUCCGGAAGAGCAGUUCUUCCUCCGGGGUCCCCUACUCCCCCGCCAUCCCCAACAAGAGGAAAGACACACCCACCAAGAAGCCAGUCAAGCGGCCAGGGACGAUCCGUAAGGCUCAGAACCUUCUGAAACAAUAUUCCCAGCAUGGUCUAGAUGGGAAAAAGGGGGGCUCUAACCUCAUUCCUCUGGAAGGUCACGAGCAUGAUUUCCGAGUUAAGCACCUGUCCGAGGCCCUGAACGACAAGGCCGGGCCAUUGGCCGGGAGAGACGACAUGCUGGACGUGGAGACCGAUGCCUACAUUCACUGCGUCAGUGCCUUUGUCAAGCUGGCCCAGAGCGAGUACCAGCUGCUGACGGACGUCAUCCCUGAGCACCAUCAGAAAAAGACCUUCGACUCUUUGAUACAGGACGCUCUGGACGGGCUCAUGCUGGAAGGCGAGAACAUUGUGGUGGCCGCCCGCAAGGCCAUCAUCCGACACGACUUCUCGGCUGUGCUCACCGUCUUCCCCAUUCUGCGGCACCUCAAGCAGACCAAGCCUGAGUUUGACCAGGUGCUCCAGGGCACGGCCGCCAGCACCAAGAACAAGCUGCCCAGCCUCAUCACCUCCAUGGAGACCGUGGGAGCCAAAGCGCUGGAGGACUUCGCCGACAACAUCAAGAACGACCCAGACAAGGAAUACAACAUGCCCAAGGACGGCACCGUGCACGAGCUCACGAGCAACGCCAUCCUCUUCCUGCAACAGCUCCUGGACUUCCAGGAGACAGCGGGUGCCAUGCUGGCCUCCCAAGUUCUUGGGGACACAUACAAUAUUCCUUUAGACCCCCGAGAGACCAGUUCCUCCGCCACCAGCUACAGCUCCGAGUUCAGCAAGCGUCUGCUGAGCACCUACAUCUGUAAAGUCCUGGGCAACCUGCAGUUGAACCUGCUGAGCAAGUCCAAGGUGUAUGAGGACCCGGCUCUGAGCGCCAUCUUCCUGCACAACAACUACAACUACAUCCUCAAGGCCCUGGAGAAGUCCGAGCUGAUCCAGCUGGUGGCUGUGACCCAGAAGACUGCUGAGCGCUCCUAUCGGGAGCACAUAGAGCAACAGAUCCAGACCUACCAGCGCAGUUGGUUAAAGGUGACUGACUACAUUGCUGAGAAGAAUCUACCUGUGGUCCAACCUGGAGUCAAGCUUCGGGACAAGGAGCGGCAGAUGAUCAAGGAGCGUUUUAAGGGUUUCAACGAUGGCCUUGAGGAGUUGUGCAAGAUCCAGAAGGCCUGGGCGAUUCCCGACACGGAGCAGAGGGACAAGAUCCGCCAAGCCCAGAAGAGCAUCGUUAAGGAGACCUACGGGGCCUUUCUAAGCAGGUAUGGCAGCGUGCCCUUCACCAAGAACCCGGAGAAGUACAUCAAGUACCGCGUGGAGCAGGUGGGGGACAUGAUCGAUCGCCUCUUUGACACCUCGGCCUGAGCUGCCGCUGCCCCUGCCUGGCUCUGCCAGAGCAGCCGUGUCACUGGACAGAUAAACAGAGCACAAUGAAGAUGAACUGGCUACACGCCACCCCUACCACAUACACCUGGAAGAAGAUGUGGUCAGCAGCCUCAGCCCAGCUCCUUCUGGACCCCUUCCCUGCUCCGGGGGCUUCUGUGUGGACAGGAAGAGUGAAAGAAGACAUACUGCACGCUCUGCAUGUGCACAAGGGUGAACCCCAGAGAGUGCUAGUCUGUGUCCCCCUUCAUCAGAGUCACAACUAACGAACAUUCGGGUCUGGCUCCUUCUAGAUCAUCGUGAGUUGAAGAAAUGCCCUCUGAGACAGGCUGUGCAAGGCACAGGGUUAUCCUGUGCUAAGUCACUUCAGUCACGUCUGACUCUUUGUGACCCCACGGAUUGUAGCCCACCAGGCUCCUCUGUCCAUGGGAUUCUCCAGACAGGAAUACUGGAGUGGGUUGCCAUGCCCUCCUUCCCGACCCAGGGAUGGAACUCAUGUCUCACGUCUCCUGCAUUGGCAGGCAGGCUCUAUACCCCUAAUGCCACCUGGGAAGCCCAGGGAGUCUGAAGUCACUGGGCCUUAGGGCGGCUGAUUCUGCUCCCUGCUCCACACCUGCUGCUUCUAAGCACAGCCACGGUGGAGUCCGGUCAAAGGAGCUGGCAGAGGUGGGUGCAGGAACCUCUAAAGAGCCCGGUGACCUGCAGCCCCAGUCUGCCAGCUCUGCCCCUAGGCCUGCUCCUCCACCCACCAGGAAGGGGCCCCAGCCCUGCCCACCUUCAGGGUUAGACCCUGGCUUCCCAUGGUCUUGCUGCUCCCCAUUCAGCACUGGAUUGCGGCUGUCCUCUGCCCUGAGGUUGCCCCGGGCCAGGAGCCCGGCCAAUAGCACAGUCUCGGUGGUGCUGACAAAGAGCAGCAGCAGCAGGACAGUGAAGUAGUAAACUGGAGAUGGGGUGGAGAAGAGAGGUCAGGAGCCAGGUCUGGCCUUGCGGGCCCCGGGACCUGAGCAGAGGCCCCGGGCCGAGCGAGGGCUGGAGCCUUACCUAGCAGGGGGUUGCAGGAGGAGGAGCUGGGCAGGGCCUGCAUCAUGGAGGAGUGGAAGACAAGGUAGCUCAGAAGCAGGGUCACCUUGUAGGCGAUGCGCUCAGUCUGGAGGGGCAGCAGCCCCCCACACAGGUCAGCCAACAGCAGCGCCUCCCCGGGGACCAGGAGCGUUAAGAUGGCCUUUAGUGCUGUGUUCUGCAGGCGCAACUGGAAGGAAGCCAGGGCGUUCCAGGGGGUGGGCAUAGAAGAGUGAGGCCAUGGCCUCUGGUUGUGCGUCCCCAACACCCCCCUCAGCCCUCAGUAGCCACCUCCCAACUCACCGUCACCUGGAAGCAGGGUACCAGCUGCUGGGACGGGAUUUGGAUUUUCAGAUCCUGAACCAUGAACUCCCUCUUGACACUCACAAUCUCGUUCACUGCGUGGACCUGGAACUCCAGCUCUGUCACUGAAGCGGGAGGGGUGAGAAUGGUGAACUCAGAAAGAAAUACCCUGUGCCUCCAUGUCUCUUGGGAGUAGGGGCAGGGAUGGACUGGAGCCCGGGGAUGAUGGAGCCCUCUGAUGGUUGCUGGGGGCAGACUUGGAAGCUGGUCUGUCCAAGGGCUUUCCAAACUGAUUUUGCAAUACCCCAAGUUUUCUCCACUUAGAGGAAGGGCCAUCUCAGAUUCAUAAAAUGAAUUUUCAUUGUAAAAAUAAACGUACUUUGCACCACUUCA